GGAAGUAAAAGUCGUAACAAGAUUUCCGUAGGUGAACCUGCGGAAGGAUCAUUAUUGUAUAACCGAGGUGCGAGGGCUGUCGCUGACCCGAAAGGUCGUGCACGCCCGAGUGCCCUCACACACAUCCAUUUCACCCCUAUGUGCACCACCGCGUGGGUCCCCCUUUGGCUUGUUCGGAGGGGGGCUUACGUUUUCACACAAACUUUGUAUGCAGUGUAGAAUGUAUUUUUUGUUUUUGCGAUCACGCAAUCAAUACAACUUUCAACAACGGAUCUCUUGGCUCUC
rnacentral:misc_RNA from 1 species